rnacentral:rRNA from 1 species
GACGAACGCUGGCGGCGUGCCUAAUACAUGCAAGUCGAACGAGUGGCGGACGGGUUAGUAAUCUAUCGUGAUCUGCCGGAUAGAGGGGGAUAACCACUGGAUACUGCCGCUAAUACCUUAUACUAUCGGAUGAACCCAUAUGGGUUUGGCUAGUGGGUGGGGUAAAGGCUCACCUAGGCGACGAUCCCUAGCUGAUCUGAGGGGAUGAGCUGCCACACUGGAACUGAGACACGGUCCAGACUCCUACGGGAGGCAGCAGUGGGGAAUAUUGCACAAUGGGCGCAAGCCUGACGCAGCAAUGCCGCGUGUAUGAGGAAGGCCUUAGGGUUGUAAAGUACUGUCAGCGGGGAGGCGUUACCUACACAGAAAGCACCGGCUAACUCCGUGCCAGCAGCCGCGGUAAUAC